AACGUAGGUACCGAGCGUUAUCCGGAAUUAUUGGGCGUAAAGCGCGUGUAGGCGGCUUAGCAAGUCGGGCGUGAAAGCCCUCGGCUCAACCGAGGAAGUGCACCCGAAACUGCUGAGCUUGAGUGCCGGAGAGGAUGGCGGAAUUCCCCAAGUAGAGGUGAAAUUCGUAGAUAUGGGGAGGAACACCGGUGGCGAAGGCGGCCAUCUGGACGGUAACUGACGCUGAGACGCGAAAGCGUGGGGAGCAAACAGG
rnacentral:rRNA from 1 species